rnacentral:rRNA from 1 species
AUUGAACGCUGGCGGCAUGCCUUACACAUGCAAGUCGAACGGUAACAGGUUAAGCUGACGAGUGGCGAACGGGUGAGUAAUAUAUCGGAACGUGCCCGGUCGUGGGGGAUAACGUAGCGAAAGCUACGCUAAUACCGCAUACGAUCUACGGAUGAAAGCGGGGGAUCGCAAGACCUCGCGCGAUUGGAGCGGCCGAUAUCAGAUUAGGUUGUUGGUGAGGUAAAAGCUCACCAAGCCUGCGAUCUGUAGCUGGUCUGAGAGGACGACCAGCCACACUGGAACUGAGACACGGUCCAGACUCCUACGGGAGGCAGCAGUGGGGAAUUUUGGACAAUGGACGCAAGUCUGAUCCAGCAAUGCCGCGUGCAGGACGAAGGCCUUCGGGUUGUAAACUGCUUUUGUACGGAACGAAACGGUGGGCUCUAAUACAGUUUGCUAAUGACGGUACCGUAAGAAUAAGCACCGGCUAACUACGUGCCAGCAGCCGCAGUAAUAC